CAUAUCAACACGGUGCAAGGUGCGGGCUUCGGUCCGAGAAUUGGGAAGCCGGCGAAAAUCCGGCACUGCCCCCGCAACGGUAAGAUCGUGAGGGGCGCAACAGCGGCCACUGGGCAGGAGGAGCCCGGGAAGGCGUUGCGCUGGGGCCCGGACGGGCCGCGAUCAAGUCCGGAAACCAGCCUUGGCAAAGAUGUUUAA
rnacentral:ncRNA from 2 species